rnacentral:rRNA from 1 species
AGCAGUGGGGAAUAUUGGACAAUGGGCGCAAGCCUGAUCCAGCAAUGCCGCGUGGAUGAAGAAGGUCUUCGGAUUGUAAAGUCCUUUCGGCGGGGACGAUGAUGACGGUACCCGCAGAAGAAGCCCCGGCUAACUUCGUGCCAGCAGCCGCGGUAAUACGAAGGGGGCUAGCGUUGCUCGGAAUGACUGGGCGUAAAGGGCGCGUAGGCGGACAUAUUAGUCAGGCGUGAAAUUCCCGGGCUUAACCUGGGGGCUGCGUUUGAUACGGUGUGUCUAGAGUUUGGAAGAGGGUCGUGGAAUUCCCAGUGUAGAGGUGAAAUUCGUAGAUAUUGGGAAGAACACCGGUGGCGUAGCGGCGACCUGGUCCUUGACUGACGCUGAGG